AUUGAACGCUGGCGGCAUGCCUAACACAUGCAAGUCGCACGCGAAAGAGGGGCAACCCUUGAGUAGAGUGGCGGACGGGUGAGUAACGCGUAGGAAUAUACCUGGUAGUGGGGGACAACACGGUGAAAACCGGGCUGAUACCGCAUACGAUCCACGGAUGAAAGCAGGGGACCGCAAGGCCUUGCGCUAUCAGAUUAGUCUGCGUCGGAUUAGCUAGCUGGUGAGGUAAUGGCUCACCAAGGCAACGAUCCGUAGCUGGUUUGAGAGAACGACCAGCCACACUGGGACUGAGACACGGCCCAGACUCCUACGGGAGGCAGCAGUGGGGAAUAUUGGACAAUGGGGGCAACCCUGAUCCAGCAAUGCCGCGUGUGUGAAGAAGGCCUUCGGGUUGUAAAGCACUUUCGGUGGGGACAAACGUGGCGAGGCUAACAUCCUCGUCCUUGAUGGUACCCAAAGAAGAAGCACCGGCUAACUCUGUGCCAGCAGCCGCGGUAA
rnacentral:rRNA from 1 species